rnacentral:lncRNA from 1 species
ACUUGGGGCCCUUUAGUUUCGCAUCUGGACCUUCGAUAUUCACAUCAGGAACAUCAACGUCCACUUUGGGUCCUGAGACAUCAAUGUCAGCCUUGGGCAGGUUCACAUCCACAUCUGGGCCCUCUCCUUUGAAGCCAGGCAUGCUGAACUUGGGCAUUUUCACUUUGGGCAUUUUUAAGUGCCAGUCUGGGCCUUGAACGUCCACAUCUGGGACAUCAAUGUCCACUUUGGGGCCCUUGAUGUCAACUUCAGGCAUAGAGAUCUUCGGUGCCUUGAGGUGCAGGUCAGGCAUUUUAAAUUUGGGGCCCUUCAGUUUCCCUUCUGGACCAUGAAUAUCAAUAUCAGGAGUGUCAAUGUCCACUUUGGGUCCUGAGACAUCAAUGUCAGCCUUGGGCAGGUUCACAUCCACAUCUGGGCCCUCUCCUUUGAAGCCAGGCAUGCUGAACUUGGGCAUUUUCACCUUGGGCAUCUUCAGGUGCCAGUCUGGGCCUUGAACACCCACAUCUGGGGCAUUAAUAUCCACUUUGGGCCCCUUGAUGUCAACUUCGGGGCCCUUGAGGUCACCUUCCA